AAUGAUCACAUAUAUAGAAAAGGGUGGCCGGCCAUGUGCUAUUUUAGAGUGGUGUGAACCCAAUUUUAUAAAGUUUAACUUCCAUUUAAUUAAGAAGUCAAGUGGGCAAGUGGGUAGAAAAGCACUCAAGUGUUUUGUGAUAUUUUGAAGAGUUGUGUGAGCCAUUCUAACCCCCAAAUCCGACCACUCUCCCUCCCUCAUUCACUCUCAUCUGAUUUUUGAAGACUCUCUCAAGUGUUCUCUCCAUUUUCAACCCCAAGAACACCAAAGAAACUUGGAAGCUAAGUCUUGGUCUAGGAAGGGUUUUCCCUAAGGUAAAGUUUCAUUAAUCUAGACUUUUGUCAAGUUUUAAUCAUAGAGUUUCAAAUAGCUAAUUACCUAUGUGGUUGGGGGAAGUUGGUUAUGGUUUUUGAAAGGUUUUGAAGGAGUCAAAUCUUAUAGGAAGGUCCAAACCUUAAGCAAGAACACCAAAGAGUAUUGGCUAAGCGUAAUUGGACUGAACGUUGGAGGGUGAAAACCUGCUGAGCGCUAAGGACUCCAAGUAAGUGCAAGGGCAAGGCAGAGCAGUGAGCGCUGGAGUCUUCCUUGCAAAUGUACAUGUGGACCGACCUUUUGGGUAGCCGCUUUAUUUUUGGAAAUGUUGUGUAAUUUUCCUAAACUAGGCUCACUCUAAUCUUUAUAAAACAUGUUUGUAACUAAAUGUUAAGUAUGGCCAUACGACUUUUUAAAAAGUUUUUUUUUCUAUGGGUUUUUGAGACAUUUUGUUAAAUGAAAACAUUUAUAU